CUCAGAGCUGGUCAAACGACUACAAGCAAAACUAAUUUUUAUUUAAAGCUAAAGCUAGCAAGUGGUCGGAAUUGCGGUCGUACAUUUUUCAAAAAAGAUUCUGAUGAAAAGAUUUCAUCAAAAAUGAAAUGCGAGACACUCAAAUGUAGGCUACGAUUUUAGCUAUGCAUCGAUGUCACUUACAUU